GUAAUAGGAUUGGUGGGUGAGCCGGAACCAGCGAAAAAGGAGUCUGGUGCCUUGUCGUGGCUGUGACGUUCCCUCUGGCCGUCUGCUGCAUCGGUGCCCCCAACGUCCAGGAACUAAUCCCCGGUCCUAUGUGGUUUUGACCCUAAUUCACUGCUGGGAGAGAAAACCCUGUGGAGAAGAACGUGCACCGGUGUUGUGAGACGACCAUCUUUUAUAUACAUGCCCGCUCGCGGCUUUGGACCCCUACUCCGCCGAGUGGCGACGUGCCAACAAUAGCAAGUAAGGAACAGUGUGCAUAUUGUGGGGGACGACGACUGAGAGAAGUGAGGGCUGCUAUAUGAACAUC
rnacentral:lncRNA from 1 species